rnacentral:rRNA from 1 species
CAGCAGCCGCGGUAAUACGGAGGGGGCUAGCGUUGUUCGGAAUUACUGGGCGUAAAGCGUGCGCAGGCGGUUAUAUAAGACAGAUGUGAAAUCCCCGGGCUCAACCUGGGAACUGCAUUUGUGACUGUAUAGCUAGAGUACGGCAGAGGGGGAUGGAAUUCCGCGUGUAGCAGUGAAAUGCGUAGAUAUGCGGAGGAACACCGAUGGCGAAGGCAAUCCCCUGGGCCUGUACUGACGCUCAUGCACGAAAGCGUGGGGAGCAAACAGGAUUAGAUACCCGUGUAGUCCCUGUCUCUUAUAA